UUCCAAUCCAAAUCAUUCUGUGAUUCUGUGAGUGCAGGCCCUGUUCCACACAAGAAAUAUUUUAAGGAAAUUGGAAUAUGGGUGGCUUAUGCUGAUACAAUUCUCUGUGUUCCAAAACAGGUGCUUUUGUUGUGAAUAACUUUUUUUCCUUGACAUAAACUGAAUGAUGCAAGCUAAUCUGAAAAGAUGUAUUUGUGCUCCAAGAACAGUGUCUUCAUCAUGUGUGCUUGUUUAUUAAUGUGUGUAUGAAUGAUUAAAGUCCUCUGGAAUGGGGAGAAAAGUCAGGUACUGUGUAAGAAGGAUUUAAUCUCUACAAAGGUUGGGGAAUUUCUGAAGGAACGUAUAUUUCUUUUAAGUCAGAAACAAUGUACUUGCUGAAAGGAACAUUUUCUGGUAAGCUACAUCUUUCAGUGACUUCUGAUUAUAUUAGCAAAUUUCCACCAAAAUUAAAAGUUUUUAACACCUUUUCCUGUCAUCUUGGUCAGCUCUUUAGGUCUGGCCCUGGGGGAUCCCCUGUGUAUGAAAUGCCUUGGUCUGAGGCUGCUUGGACUGUGGUCUGGUGAUCUCAGCCUAACUGUGUGGAGUGUUUGCAGUGUCAGAGGUGCCUGGAGUGCUGUUUUUGAGUCCCUGGCUCAUGGUUAGUAGGGCUGGGUGUCAUGGAGAACAUUGUCUAGGGUUUGCAAAGGAUGAGAGAUGUCAGGUUCUUUAUUGCAGGCCUGAGAAUUGAACGGGGUGUUUGGUGUUUGUGGAGUUCAGAGCUGCUGGUUGUGCAACAAUAUUCCUCAAAUCCUUUCAAGAUCCACAACAGCUUCUAUUUGUGUGCUAAUACAUGUUGAAUAGUUACAGAUGCAUUUAUUAAUAAUUUAUUUUCACCUUCAUCAUAAAAAAGCAAAAGGGAGUGGAAAGCACUGAGACGCCGAUUUCUCUUUUUUAAGUAUAGCAAAACCUUUUAUUUUGCCAAGCUAUCUGUUAAGAUUUCAGAAUCCUGCAUCUGUUAACUGAAGGAGUGAAUCCUGCACUUCUCUGUAUUAACACAAAGUGGCCAAGUCCUUGCUAAUAAGUCAUGUAGAAUCCCUAUAAGACAUGGGAAAUUCCUUCUUUUAUUCUCUCGGGGCUGGAGGAAGGUGUGAGAUCACAGUUAAGUUUUCUCUGGCAGUAUUUACAUGGAGCUAAUUCUGUGCCUGGUGUAGGAAGCCUCAACUCUGAUGCCUUUCACAGAGAAGUUUGGUGUAGCCAGUGUUUUCCAGUGCAGGUGGAGUGCAGUGAGUCUGUUCCUUUCCAUUGUUUUGAUGUUUUAGCAACUGAGCUUUAGGUGUGCUGUGAAAGUGUGGGCUUGUGCUUGGCUCUGAGUGAGGGGUUUUGCUUUGCUCUGCAUGAAGUCUUGGGAAAAUGCAGGCUAGUUAAUGCUGUGGGACAAAAGGGUAGAAUCAUAGAAUCAUUUAAGUUGGAAGAGAGCUUUGAGAUCAUUGAGUUCAACUGUUAACCCAGAACUGCCAAGUCCAUCACUGAACCAUGUUCCUGAGUGCCAUAUCUACGUGCACAGGAUGAGCCAAGAAGGUAGAAGUAGUGAAGGAUAAAAUAGGUGUUUUUUACAGGUAAAUAUAGGGUAACAGUGGUUUUUGGCAAAGUGGCUUGCCUUGCAGAUCCUUUGGAGCUUUCUAAGGAAGUUGGUAAGUGGGCAAAGCAGAUGGUUGUAUUUGCAAAGAAAAGUCAGUAAGAUCUUUCUCCAGAAGCCUUUUUGGUAAGUGGACAAAGCAGAAAGUUGGAUUUUCAAAGGAAGGUCAGCAAGAUCCUUCACCAGAAGCUUUUAUACAGUCUGAGCUGUCAUUGAUAAGGAAAAGUCUUUACAGAGCAGAGUAGCUCUUGAAAUGAUAUGAAACAUAGUCUAGAGAGAAAUAAUGUGAAGGAGACGCCAGUGAAAUUCCAUAGAAUCUGGACUGAUAAUCUGGAAAACAAGUGACUGGUGAGUUAAUGAGGUUUGUGGGCAAUACUAAAUUAUUUGGGGUAGCAAAGACUGUAGACGGACCUGUUGCUUUUAGUGGAUGGGUAGUAGGAUAGCAGUUGGGAUCCAGAGUUGCUGUGAGAGUUAGUAUUGUUCCUUUCUUCCACAUGUGGCUUCUUCUUCUACAUCCAAACUGGCUAGCAUAACGUUGGAAAGAGAUCCCUAGGUCUUAAUGGAUAGCUCUACAAAAACAAUUAUCUCAGUGUUCAUUCAUGGUACAAAAAAACCUGAGUGGGGAGGGGAAUGUUAGCAGUUAAAAGAGCAUGUACAGCAUGUCUGUACACUGUAGUGUAUCCACAGUGUUACCUCCAACUGAAGUGCUGUGUGCAGUUCUGGUGGGUUUCUCUUUUCUUCCCCCUCCUCAGGAAAGCCUCUAAUAGAACUAGAAAAGAUACAGAGAGGAUGAUAGAGUGAUUAAGAGGAGAGCUUCCUGAAGAGCUUCUCAGUUAGAAUGGCUGAAUAGACUCAGCCUCUUCAGACUGGAAAAGAGAUGAUUGAAUGGGGCCAUAGUAGAGAUCUGUAAAUGCAGUAGAAUAACACAGCAAGGAUGAGUGGCUGCUCAGGGUCACAUAAUGCAAAAUCUAGGGAGUGCUAAGAAAUCUAGCAGCUAGCUGAUUGCAAAGGUAGUGGAUAGAAGGUUCAGAAGCAUUAGGAGGCUUUGUUUGGUUGGUUUUGGUUUUUACAGAAAAAAAACCCAUGUGAAUCUGAAGUUGUGGAUGUUAAAAGUUUACAUGAGUUUUAAAUGAUUGGGCAGACAGAAUAAAAAUAUGUUGUGGCUAUUAAAAAAAUACAUUGUUUCUGGUUCAGGAAAUCCUUGAGCCACAGAUCUCUAGACACUGGGAGAUUAUGUGAGAGACCUAUCACAACACGCUUUCCUCCUGUGUUUUGUGUUACCCUUGUAGGGUAAUGUAUAUUAAUGAACUUUCUCAUUCAGAGGUAGGACACUGGACUAGACAGUCUUUCAGUCCGAUUUGGCACAGCUGUUCUUUCGAGUCUUCACAGGAAGAUCGUGUUCUUUGAGCUUUACAGAGCUAAUCCCACCAUUCUUUUCAAUGCUGUCUGUCUGAAGGAGUAGCAAGUCAGGUCUUCUUGCAAGCUACCUGUCACUUCCUGGGUUGUGAGCUGCUGACAGGAGAAAAACUGAAGCUGAAGAGAGGGGGAAAGCUGAGAUGGAGCAAACCUGACAGUCCAGAUCUCUCUUCAGGCUUUUGUUGAAAGAAGCUGAGAAAGGUGAAAUCUGGGACUUCUGACACUAGUCGAAGGAGAAGAAAACAGUCCCACCUGAGAAGGUUGAUGUGCAGGCAGCACAGCAGCAAGCUGGAAGAUGUAACAGAAAUACAGCACAAAGAAACAAUGCUGCAGGGUGUACUGAGCUUGUGAUCCUCAAGCAUGCUGUCUGGGGAAGCUCAGCUUCUUUUAUUCCAGAAAUUCCCUUUAAAUGCUUGGUACUAAGCUGAGAAAAACAGAUCUGAUAAGCUUCUUGGUCACAAACCAGGUACUGCUGGUUCUUGCUGUCCCUGACCAGCUUCUCUCUGGGGUUCCCCCAAGGCUGCCCAUGGCGCAGGACUCCAUCCCAGGCCUCAAGGAUGUUAGCUCCUGCCCCAGGGAUUGCACAGCAGGGCCGGUCUCCAGCUCCCCACAGCCUUGCCCUGCUCACCUGUAGGUCCUGUAGAUCCAGGCUCAUGUCCUGUCUGGCCUGAACCCAUCCCUGUGGCCCUGUUUGGACAUUCUGGGGCUGUCUGACCUUGUUCCUCAUGCUGGGCCUGACCCUGACCCCCAUGUGCAGUCUGACAUCCUGCCUGGCCUCAGCCCAUUCCUAGACCCAUGGAGGUGCUCGGUGCCCUCAGCUCUGCCUGUCCCUGCCUUGCUACAGAGUUCAGAGUCACAUCUCUAGUAAAACUUUAAAUGAGAAUUAUUAGUAAAUCUUUUAACUUACUUUUACUUAAGCCUGGAGGUUUUAGGGCAGUGACAAAUACACAGACACAGUCACAGAAACAGGAUUCUGCAGUGGGCACUGACAGCAUCAGUUCAAGUUCAGCACUGAGCCAGGAUCAUGCAGAGCUCCUGGCUCUGGUACAGCAAACAUGCAUUAAGACUCUGCAUCUCCAAAUGUACAUGAGUUUGCAGUGCACUAAUUUGAAGCUGGUGGGAGGUUAUCUUCUUGGUUUUGCUCAUAAGGAGAAAGUUGUGAACUAGUAGUCCUUAACACACCAACAAGUGUUUGUUAAAAUUUUUGGUGUAGGAGGUUCCACAACAUUUUUAAGUAGCCUGCUUCGAAUUUUAGAACAUCAAGGCAGAGUUUACUUCUACUAUUUCAGGGUUUUUUUGCAAGUAAAUUGUAAUGAACUUACUACAGAGAUCCAUUAGCACUGCCACAAAUGCUGAAUGUGUACUCUCACUCUGCAGUGUCCCGUGACAGAUUUAAUGUUUAAUGUAUCUCUCUUUAGUAAAGCCGUGGUACGCUCAGUGUUUCAGGUAUACCUGUGGAAGCUUACUGAAAUAUUUUCUAUACUAUUUUAUCCUUAAAAUCUCUAUGUUUUUGCAUCGACGUAUGUGAACUACGUUGACCUCACAUGCAGAACUUGACAAGAGUUUGCCUUGAUCUAAAUAUUUGUCUUUUGGGGAUUGUGGAAAUGGAAAGUUAUGGUCAGCAAACUGGAAAGAAGAGAGGGGGACUGAAUGCCUGGAGGAAAAAUCUUCCAUGGAAUUUAAGCUAAGCUUACUAGUCAUUCAUUGUCUGUACCUUUUUGCCCUCUAGAGUUUUUUAAGAUGGACAACUCCUGUCACAGUGAGUGCUAGUGAGGCUUUUGGGAGAGGGGAUGAACUCUGUAUCGGAUUCUGUGCUUUUGUCCACUUGGUUCCUAUGUACAAUAAACCAUUCUUGUGUAUUUUUUAAUAUUAAAAAGUGGAAGGAGUAA